UGCUCAGUAACACGUGGACAACCUACCCUUAGGCCUGGGAUAACCCCGGGAAACUGGGAAUAAUACCGGAUAUAUCGCGAAUGCUGGAAUGCGUCGCGAUAGAAAGCUCCGACGCCUAAGGAUGGGUCUGCGGCCUAUCAGGGUAGUAGUGGGUGUAAUGUACCUACUAGCCUACGACGGGUACGGGUUGUGAGAGCAAGAGCCCGGAGAUGGAUUCUGAGACACGAAUCCAGGCCCUACGGGGUGCAGCAGGCGCGAAAACUUUACAAUGCUGGCAACAGCGAUAAGGGGACCUCGAGUGCCAGGAUACAAUCCUGGCUGUCGUAAUGCCUAAAAAGCAUUGCAUAGCAAGGGCCGGGCAAGACCGGUGCCAGCCGCCGCGGUAACACCGGCGGCUCGAGUGGUAACCGCUAUUAUUGGGUCUAAAGGGUCUGUAGCCGGCUGACUAAGUCUCUUGGGAAAUCUGGCAGCUUAACUGUCAGGCUUUCAGGAGAUACUGAUCGGCUCGAGACCGGGAGAGGUGAGAGGUACCUCAGGGGUAGGGGUGAAAUCUUGUAAUCCUUGAGG
rnacentral:rRNA from 1 species